UACGGAGGAUGCAAGCGUUAUCCGGAAUGAUUGGGCGUAAAGGGUCCGCAGGUGGCAGUGUAAGUCUGCUGUCAAAGAAUGAGGCUUAACCUUAUCAAGGCAGUGGAAACUACACAGCUAGAGUACGGUCGGGGUAGAAGGAAUUCCUGGUGUAGCGGUGAAAUGCGUAGAGAUCAGGAAGAACACCGGUGGUGAAAGCGUUCUGCUAGACCUGUACUGACACUGAGGGACGAAAGCUAGGGGAGCGAAUGGG
rnacentral:rRNA from 1 species